rnacentral:rRNA from 1 species
CAGUAGCCGCGGGAAUACGUAGGGUGCGAGCGUUAAUCGGAAUUACUGGGCGUAAAGCGUGCGCAGGCGGUUCGUUAAGACAGAUGUGAAAUCCCCGGGCUUAACCUGGGAACUGCAUUUGUGACUGGCGAGCUAGGGUAUGGCAGAGGGGGGUAGAAUUCCACGUGUAGCAGUGAAAUGCGUAGAGAUGUGGAGGAAUACCGAUGGCGAAGGCAGCCCCCUGGGCCAAUACUGACGCUCAUGCACGAAAGCGUGGGGAGCAAACAGGAUUAGAUACCCGAGUAGUCCCUGUCUCUUAUAC